UGGCUAGGACGGUGAAAAGAA
rnacentral:sRNA from 1 species